rnacentral:rRNA from 1 species
UACGUAGGGGGCAGGCGUUGUCCGGAUUUAUUGGGCGUAAAGAGCUCGUAGGCGGUUCGGUAAGUCGGGUGUGAAACCUCCAGGCUCAACCUGGAGUCGCCACUCGAUACUGCUGUGACUAGAGUCCGGUAGGGGAGCGUGGAAUUCCUGGUGUAGCGGUGAAAUGCGCAGAUAUCAGGAGGAACACCAGCGGCGAAGGCGGCGCUCUGGGCCGGAACUGACGCUGAGGAGCGAAAGCGUGGGUAGCAAACAGG